GAUUGGGCCCCGUGCGUGUGACGCCUGUGAACCCCGUCAGGCCCGGAAGGGAGCAGCGGUAAGCGGGAGAGUCGCAGUGCCGCGGCCAAGCCUAAUCGGU
rnacentral:SRP_RNA from 1 species